UACGUAGGGUGCGAGCGUUAAUCGGAAUUACUGGGCGUAAAGCGUGCGCAGGCGGUUCUGUAAGCCAGAUGUGAAAUCCCCGGGCUCAACCUGGGAAUGGCAUUUGGGACUGCAAGGCUUGAGUGCGGCAGAGGAGACUGGAAUUCCUGGUGUAGCAGUGAAAUGCGUAGAUAUCAGGAGGAAUACCGAUGGCGAAGGCAGGUCUCUGGGCUGACACUGACGCUCAUGCACGAAAGCGUGGGGAGCAAACAGG
rnacentral:rRNA from 1 species